GCGGAAAUAGCUCAGUCGGUAGAGCAUAACCUUGCCAAGGUUAGGGUCGCGAGUUCGAGUCUCGUUUUCCGCUCAA
rnacentral:tRNA from 1 species